rnacentral:rRNA from 1 species
AGUGAACGCUGGCGGUAGGCCUAACACAUGCAAGUCGAACGGCAGCACAGUAAGAGCUUGCUCUUACGGGUGGCGAGUGGCGGACGGGUGAGGAAUACAUCGGAAUCUACUUUUUCGUGGGGGAUAACGUAGGGAAACUUACGCUAAUACCGCAUACGACCUACGGGUGAAAGCAGGGGAUCUUCGGACCUUGCGCGAUUGAAUGAGCCGAUGUCGGAUUAGCUAGUUGGCGGGGUAAAGGCCCACCAAGGCGACGAUCCGUAGCUGGUCUGAGAGGAUGAUCAGCCACACUGGAACUGAGACACGGUCCAGACUCCUACGGGAGGCAGCAGUGGGGAAUAUUGGACAAUGGGCGCAAGCCUGAUACAGCCAUACCGCGUGGGUGAAGAAGGACUUCGGGUUGUAAAGCCCUUUUGUUGGGAAAGAAAAGCAGCAGGUUAAUACCCCGCUGUUCUGACGGUACCCAAAGAAUAAGCACCGGCUAACUUCGUG